GGCAUACCUACGAGUCUCCAGGGCAACGAAGCGGCGGCCCAGCUUCCAGUCUCUCCGGGCCGUGGAAACACGCAGCUCUCCUGGGGAAGAGGCCAGCCUGGGCCGGCUUCCAGCUCCACUCCAAGGCCAAGGCUGGGCAGGCGCCGCCCCACCCCCGCCCGCAGCUGCCACGGUCUUUUGGAGGAGGGUGGGUGGCUGGGAUGGGGGUGCAGCUGAAGACACUGGACCCAGCUAGCCAGGAGUCAACAAAGACCUGUCUCUAGAGCGGCCCUCUCUCUAUUGCGAUCACCCCAUUUGACAGUCUACAGAGUGCCGAAGUGUAAGCAUCCGGCUCUUGACCCCUCAUCAGAUUUCUGCACCUGCUCCUCAGUCCCAAACAUCUGAAAAGUUGCUGGCGGGCUGGUGAGGUGGCUCCGCGGGGAAAGGCACUUGCUGUCAAGUCUGGGGACUUCCAUUUGAUCCUCGGGAUCAACUUGAUUUAAGAGAACUCUUAAAAGUUAUUCUUCACCCUCUAAGCAUACAACACAUAAUACACACACACACACACAAACACACACACGAAAAAAUAAAGGAUAGUUGUUGUCGAUGUUUUGGUUUAUGAUCUGUAAACAUGUUUUUUGUUAAAAUUCCAAGUUGGGGAUUUUAGUUUGUCCACACCUGUUAAGUGUUUCGUGUGGAGCGUGGUCUUUGCCAGGUGGAAUUACAUUCUGAGAACUUUGAGGGGUAUAAAUAUGACAGCCCAGAGGAAGAAGGCAUGGCUGCUUGGAAGAGGACUGCUUGCUGCUGGUUCAUCCUGCUGCUGCAUUUGCUGUUUGCUGAUUUGCUUUUUACCUGGAUUUCUGGACGACUGAUAUUGGUCUUGUCCCUAAAAGAAUCCUACAACCCCACCCAGUGGGAAGUAGCAGAGAGAACUCUGGCCCUGUCCCCACUAACCUUCUUUCCCUCCUUCCCGGAGCUGGGUGUUGGAAGGGAGGUAGAAGUGUUUAAUAACCCUAAAUAAAGUAGAAUUGAUAAAAAAUAGGGUAGCUUCAUUAAAAGAGAGAGAGGAAGGAAGGAAGGAGGCUUUUGAGGCUGAGGUAUCCUGAACUGUAAACCUAGAAGGGCCUCAGUUGGUAGAGUGCUCGUCUAGCCUGCAGGUAGCCCUGGGUUCCGUUACCCUGUUAACAAGGAGAGAGGUGGGAAAUCCAAGGUCGUCCUUGGUUACCUAACAGCUGGAGAUUGCAGUGGAGCAGAGACCUUGGUUGAGGGAGGGAAGUCUCCUGCCACUGACACCUGUAAAGCUGCGUUGGUGACCAACCAAGGAUAUGGCACGCCUUCAGAAUUCUCUUUCCUUUCUCAUCUGCUUGAAAUUGAUGGGGAAAGCUGAGCAUGAGCAGCAGCUCCCGUCCCUUUAACCUUCCAUUUUCAGUGAAGCCACCUCCCAGCUCCAUUUCUAUCUCUUAAGCAAUCACCUUUGUUAGUAGUUAUAUAAAAACGAUGCCGUGCACACAGCAGAAACAGAUAUUAUGUGAAAGAGGUUUAUUGGAUGGAGAUGGAGAGAGAAACAUGGCGUGGUGAGGGGGUGCCCACAGAGAGAGGAGAAGAGCAAGCGAGCAAGAGAGUAAGAGAG